rnacentral:lncRNA from 1 species
CCCUCCAUCGUCGUCUCCCUCCUCUUGUCCCACUCCGACUCCGACAUGGCGGCCGCGAAGCACUUCACCUACGUCAUCCUCGGCGGAGGCGUCGCCGCGGUAACAUCGCCACCCUCCUCCUCUACUCUCUUCAAUACGCGCUUGCCUUCUCAUGGCCAUCACAUCAUCUCACUCACACGAUCGAUGAACUCAUUUUCAUUUUGAUUUGUGCAGGGAUACGCUGCGCGGGAGUUCGCCAAGCAGGGCGUCAAGCCCGGGGAACUCGCCAUCAUCUCCAAGGAAUCGGUAAACCAUCCAUCCAUCCAUCCAUCCAUCGAUUCCUUCCUGAAUGAAUACUGGACUAGUAAUUCCUAAUUAUUUUUUUUCCUCUUCGUGUUUCUGCUGCAGGUGGCUCCCUACGAGCGUCCUGCUCUCAGCAAGGGAUACCUCUUUCCUCAGAGUACGUCACGCCCUCCCCUCCCCUCCCCUGCCCUGCAUAUUUAUUUUAUUUUCUCAACAUACUACUAAUUACUCUCUUCCAUUUCUUGCUGCUGAUUCAUUCCGAUCCAUCUUUCUCUCUACAGAUGCAGCCAGACUUCCGGGAUUCCACACCUGCGUCGGGAGCGGCGGAGAGAGGCUCUUGCCUGAAUGGUAUUCCGAGAAAGGUACAAUUACUGCUUUUUUUUCUCUUUUCUUUUCCAUAUAAUUUGCAAUCUGCAGUUGCUGUUCGAUCUUCAUGCCAGAGUACUUUGUUGAUUGCAAAUUGAAAUGGUUAUCCAUGAGUUCUUCUGGUCACUUCACAAACCCGUUGCCGUACAUUAAUUCACAGGCUUUCAGUGCCAGACUGCCAGUAGUACUAACUUGGAAGCUAACCAAACCUUCAAAAAACUUGAAAAGUACCAGUAGUAGUAUUUUAUAACUCAAGUGUCGUUUCAUUAAUUCUAUCCUCUGAUCUCUGAUCCUUUUCGAGUAAACAAAGGAAUGCCAGCUAAUUUAAAUGGCCAAAAAUAUUCCUCUAUAAAUAAAAUUGCUAAAAGUCACCAUUUUCUGAAUACCGCAGUCUUUCUGACAGAUUGAUGGCAAACUGAAUGAGAGAGUAUACGGUGUUUCCAUUUGUAAUGUUGCAGGUAUCGAGCUGAUCCUGAGCACCGAAAUUGUCAAGGCUGAUCUUGCCUCCAAGACAUUGACCAGUUCAGCUGAUGCAACCUUUACCUAUGACACUUUGCUCAUUGCCACUGGCUCCUCGGUGAGUUCUCAACUGUACCUUUAAGCUUUAACCCACAAAGAAAAGAGGAAUGGUGUUCUUUUUAGUAAAUUUUGGUUGUGAACUUGUAAUGUUUGUUUAUUCAUAUCGGUUUUUCCAGAGCUAUGUUGCUCAUGUCAUUUUUUUGGGAAUACGCGAGACGCGCAUUUUUGUAUUAAGAUGUUGCUCAUGUCAUGAACAUCUGUCUGCUUGAUCAGGUCAUAAAGCUCACUGACUUUGGUGUUCAAGGAGCAGAGGCCAACGACAUAUUGUACCUGAGGGAUAUUGAGGACGCUGACAAGUUGGUCGCGGCUAUGCAAGCCAAGAAGGAUGGAAAGGCUGUGAUUGUCGGAGGUGGCUACAUAGGACUUGAGCUUAGCGCAGCCUUGAAGACCAACAAUUUUGAUGUCACUAUGGUGUACCCUGAACCUUGGUGCAGUAAGUCUCCUUAUUCUUUGCAUCCAGAAAGAUUUACUACUAUAAAUUGUGUUUUCUGAAUACUCAACAGCAAGGAAACAAAUACCUCUCAUCUUUAUAGUUGUAACGUAUUUGGCCAAUGAAAUCUCAUAUUGGAGAUGCCAUCUGUUGUAGUGCCCCGUCUCUUCACUUCUGGCCUUGCUGCUUUCUACGAGGGAUACUACGCUAACAAAGGAAUCCAUAUCAUAAAGGGAACCGUGGCUGUUGGUUUUGAUGCUGAUGCCAAUGGAGAUGUGAGCACUCUGUAGUUACCACUUAGUCCAGUAUCAUCUUGCUGUGAAGGCAAAUGUUCACCUUGUUAAUUUUUUUUUUCUGUUGGCAGGUUACUGCGGUGAAGCUAAAGAAUGGAAACGUGCUGGAAGCUGACAUUGUUAUUGUCGGUGUCGGUGGCAGGCCACUGACUCAUCUCUUCAAGGGUCAAGUUGCAGAGGAGAAGGGUGGAAUCAAGGUUUGUCCGGUUUCUGUUCAUCUUUCAGAUUCUGCUCUAUCUGCUACAUUUGUUGCGUGAUGAUUGUAUUUCAGGCUAUUGUCCAUUUGAGUCACCCUAAUUAGCAACUGAACCUUCUUUCGAGCUUGUUCUUGCUUAUACCUUCGAAUUAGCUGAACAUUUCAAAUCUGCAUGUGUC